UACGUAGGGUGCGAGCGUUGUCCGGAAUUAUUGGGCGUAAAGGGCUCGUAGGCGGAUCGGUAAGUCUGAUGUGAAAUCUCCACUGCUCAACAGGGAGAGGUCAUUGGAUACUGCCAAUCUGGAGUACGGUAGAGGACCAUGGAAUUCCAGGUGUAGCGGUGGAAUGCGUAGAUAUCUGGAAGAACACCGGUGGACGAAGGCGGUCGGGAGUCGUUCGGGAGC
rnacentral:rRNA from 1 species